GUGCAAUACGUUUUCAAGAACUUGAAUUCAACACCCUGUGCAGUGAAUUGACUACAGGAAUUGCAUGAAAGAAGUGUUAGUUUUUCCAUGCAUUUCCUUUAUCUAUCCAUUCCAAUAAGUCAAAAAAGAUGAUAUUGGGUCAUUUUCAGAGAUCGCUGUUGCAGCUCCAUUUACAGCCCUAGACAGUGAGAAAGAACUGAGGGGGUCAGGGUGCGCAAGCACCAACAGGCAGCUACUGCACAUGCGCGUCCCAACCAGGCACUGCUACCAAAAGUCUCCGAUCAGCGGUGCCGGGAUGCACCAACAUCUAAAGCAGAGCACCCACAGGGACAGCAUUCGAAGAAGAAUUACUACUUUCUAGAUCACAGCAUUUGAGCCAACAAAAAGGAACUGGUAUUAAAAUUGGCUCAUUGUCUACCACAAAAAUGCUUCAUAAAGAAAUCAAGCAAGUUAAGAUAGUUUAUUUUGUAACUACUCUGUGAAUCUCAAAGUUAGUACUCACAACUGAGAGGCAUCUUCCAACUAUGCAGGAAUAUAGGAUGGAAGAGAGAAGACUAGAGGAACAGAGCAAGCGUGGGAAGUAAGCGGAUAGGAAGUCAAAGAGGCUUUUCUGCUUUUCCCCAUUUGACCCUUCAACUCAUUCAGGAACCUGGACCAUUGAAUUCAUUGCCAGGCCAGAGACAGGGCUGGUCCUUUGUUUCUUACCACCAGGUCCUCAAAGAAGGGUGCGAAUAUGCAAAUCUAAGAGCUUAUGCAAAGAAUGAUAUCACAGAUAUCCCCAAUACUGUAUUAUCUCUAUCUUUUUAUGUGGCUUGGAUCCUUUCUGGCUUUAUUCAUUAUUUUAAUAAAGGUCUCUAAGG